GGUUAUUUAUUGAACAUUUUGAAUUCAACUGAAAUCAAAGCACACAUUGCUUGAAAUGAAAACAGUCACAUUUUAGUUUACUGUAAGCUGCAAGUUUCCUAAAAAAGUAGAAAAUAAAUAACUUAACUUAAUUUAAAAAUAUAUAUAUUCUAAAAGUCUAGUCAUUCAGGGCUCCAGACUAACUUUUUUGUUAUUAGGAGUACUGUACCCCCUGACUGAAAAUGUUAUGAGCACAAGAAGAACAUUAGGGCACACCUUAAAUCAGCCUGCAAUGCAAUUAUUCACAUUUUCCCCCAAAAUAACUGCAUUACUGAAAAAUACUAAAUAGAUUUCACCCUAUGCAGUUUGCUGCAUAUGGCAUUAUGCACAAUUGAUGAAACUUUCAGAAUAGAAAAUUAUGAACCAAAGAUUCAUACAACCCCCUUGACUAAUUCUAGCCAUAAGAUACAUAUAUACAAUAAGUUAUAUCCAGAUAAUGAGAUGAGUGGCAUGGUUUACACAUACUUGUAUCCUUUACACGUUUCUUGACUUCUAUCCAGUUUUCAUUAACUGGGCACUGCUGUCUAAGACCUUUAUUCGUUGAUGAUUAAAAACAAAUAUAUUGGCGCAAUGUAUGAUUUCAAUCUGUGUUAUUUGCUAUAGUGGAACUAUUUUUUCAGAUACCUCACAAUCGCGUAUACUUCCGCUCUAUAUUUGAGUCUGAAGCAUGAAUGAACGUAGUCCAACAAACUGUAAUAAAACGGUAGCAUAAUUUCAAAAUUAAGUUUAUUUAUAACACUUACACCAUCCAAUAUGUUUUUUUUCAUCAGCAGAACAAUAAAGAAGAUAUUUUGCAGAAACCCCAGUGCUCCGUCAUGCAAGUCAACAGAUCCGCACACUUUAAGAGCUAAAGCAUAUAUAUCCAAUACAACAGUAAUCCCCCAUAACUCCGUGUGACAUAUUGACGUCUUGUGAAGCAAAUCGAUCAGUUUUUGCAAGAAACUGAACGUUAUUUACAACACUAUUAGCGUGAAUGCCAAAGCAGGAAGCGCGCUUUACGUUCAAGGCGAUCUCUUCCACACUGGUGCCGUUUGGUGGCUGUUGGCUAUGGAUGUUGGUCUCUCUGUGCCACCUAUAGAGCGGGAGCGUGAAGCGCACUUCCUGCUUGGCAAAAGCUCUGCAUUAACGCUGUAAAAUAUUUAUAUAUAUAUUCGAAUCUCAAAACUGAAAAUCUUAUGUCAACCCACGGAACGAAUAUUCGAAUAUUCUGGUCCAGCCCUACAAAUAUGGAAAAAAUUCUUCUGAGAGAAACCAAGCGAAAAAACUACAACCACAUGUAAACAGACCCUUUUCUGUUUCCCGGCGGCGGAGUGAUAUAUCAGCGAGCAAUGAGUCUUCCAAGAGAAGUCAAUGGAAUUUUACAAAAUGCCAAAUAAAACACGACAGAAACUGUAUUUCGCUACACAACUUGUUUUUAAUCAUCAACGAACACCACGAACCACUCGGUGAGUAGCACAGUUUUGAAAAUGAACGUUAAGUGUUGUUUUAAUGACAUGUUUGUGCAUGGCCAUUGACUUCCAUUCUGAAGCAGUCAAGAGACGCUUCUAAACGAGUCAAAAACUCAAGACACGACCCAUUGUCAAAAUUUCUGUGUCCAUCACUGUAGUUCAUCCAAAACAAACCAGAAAUGAGACUCAAAGUGUUAAAUACCAGAAUUAUCCUUAAAGACUGUAGAAUGUGACAUUAUUUUGCAAGCUCAAAUCCUGAUGUGACCACACAGAAAGAACUUGUAAAGGUACAGGUAAAGAUCUCACAAAAAACACAGCAAGUCACUGGCAACAGGUUUAGAUCAUUAAAGCCACUUGAGAAGGCCAGCGGUCGAGUGAUAUUGACCCCCGGUUGCGUGAUGAGGAUGGAAAAUUUGUGAGACGAUAAGCCAAACGCUGUUAUCAUCUUCGGUUUCUAACUCAGCCCACACUGAUCACUGAAGUUUUCUAGGCGUAAACACCCUGGAGGCAAAUUGACCUGAAAAAGCUGACUGCUUUCAUGUCUCCUCAGUAGAGUCUACAGGGUGCAUUAGGUUUACAGAUUACAAGACUUUUUUAUACUAUUUUGCCGCAGUGUGGGUUUUUCCAAAACCUGAAUGAUAAGUAUUAAACAUUGGCAUGGAACUAACGUUGCUUGAAGGCAACUUAGUCCCGUUGACGGGCAUCUUGGAAACAACCCCAGGCUGCUGUUUGCUAUGUAUUGCAGCUAUUUUCUACUUGAAUUGGGAAAGACUGAAAUCUCUCAAACUGUUAAUUACCAAAUCGACAACAGCAAUACCAUUCCCCAACUAUUCCAAUAUUUGUCAAUUGUGACCCUGUCUAUAAAAUCCAGGCUAAAGUCUUAUACAGUAAUCUAAUAAUGAGAUUAAGACAAUCAAAGUUUGACAGCGUGACAAAUAAUUGCUUUGUUGUGAUGAUUUGCCACUUGAUAUUACCAGGUGGAAGUAUUUGGCAUUAAGGGGGUGGACUUAUUUUAAAGCACUUUCUAUUGGAAAGAAUGGUAGAGCACAGUACGAGUCAUUGCAUUUCAAGAAGCAAGGCUAUAAGUUUUAUAUGCACAGAACCGCUAAAAGUUAAUUUUGUUAAUGUUUAGAAGUGUACUAGUCUAUAGAUGGCUUUAAAGCCAGCUAACAUUUUAAUGUGCAUGCUCAUUCUGAAAUCAACAAACUAUUGGUUCUCUUCCUUAAGGCGCCAUAAUAUUUCUUCCAUUAGUUUUCCAUACGAGUGGCUCAUCUCCUCUCCUUAUGCUGUCCCUGGUGUUAUUAAUCUCACACUGUUUGUGCUACAGACAUUUGUAGUUUGAAUCAUGUGGCUUGUAGAGGUGUGUUAUUAUUUUGUUAUUACUCAACUUCCCAGCUACUGCAUGGCAACACUGAAACCAUUCUUUUUAGCUUAGCAACUGCAACCUCCUGGAAACCACCCCUCAACACUAAAACCACUCAGAUGACCUUAGCAAUAGAAACACCCCAGCAACUGCCCAGAAUUCACUGUAAAACACUUUAAAACAUCCUUGCAACCGCAUGACAACACUAAAACCACUCAGGUGACCUUAGCAAUGACAACACCCUGGCAACUUCCCAGAAUUAACUAGAAAUCACCCAGCAACUGCAUGCCAACACUGAUACAAUUUUAAUUAGCUUAGCAACUGCAACACCCUGGAAACCACUUCUCAACACUAAAACCGCUCAGAUGACCUUAGCAAUAGCAACACCCAAGCAACUGCCCAGAAUUAACUAGACAUCACCUUUCAACUUUCCAGCAACUGCAUGGAAACACUAAAACCACUCAGAUGACCUUAGCAACAGCAACACCCUGGCAACUUCCCUAGAAUUAACUAGAAGUCACCCAUCGACUUCCCAGCAACUGCAUGGCAACACUAAAACCACUCAGAUGACCUUAGCAAUGGCAACACCCAAGCAACUGCCCAGAAUUAACUAGACAUCACCCUUCAACUUUCCAGCAACUGCAUGGAAACACUAAAACCACUCAGAUGACCUUAGCAACAGCAACACCCUGGCAACUUCCCUAGAAAUAACUAGAAGUCACCCAUCGACUUCCCAGCAACUGCAUGGCAACACAUAAACCACUCAGAUGACCUUAGCAAUGGCAACGCCCUGGCAACUGCCCAGAAUUAACUAGACAUUAACUUUUCAGCAAGUGCAUGGCAACACUAAAACCACUCAGGUGACCUUGGCAAAAGCAACACCCUGGAAACUUCCCAGAAUUAACUAGAAAUCACCCAUCAACUUCCCAGCAACUGUAUGACAACACUGAAACCAUUCUUGUUAGCUUAGCAACUGCAACAUCUUGGAAACCACCCCUCAACACUAAAACCACUCAGAUGACUUUAGCAAUGGCAACCUCCUGGCUACUGGCCAGAAUUACCUAAAAUUUCCCUAUCAACUUCCCAGCAACUGCAUGACAACACUAAAACCACUCAGAUGACCUUAGCAAUGGCAACGCCCUGGCAACUGCCCAGAAUUAACAAUAUAUUUUCUAUCAACUUUCCAGCAACUGCAUGGCAGCACUGAAACCAUUUUUAUUAGCUUAGCAACUGCAACACCCUGAAAACCACCAAUCAAUACUAAAACCGCUUAGAUCACCUUAACAAUGGCAACACCCCAGUAACUGCCAGGAUUAAAUAGACAUCACCCAUCAACUUCCCAACUACUUCAUGGCAACACUAAAACCAUUCUAACUACCUUAGCAACUGCAACACACCGGCAACUACCCAGCAUUCUCUGGAAAACACUUAUCAACACCCUAGCAAACGCAUGGCAACACAAAAACCACUCAGAUGACCUUAGCAAUGGCAACACCCUGGCAACUGCCCAGAAUUAACUAGACAUUAACUUUUCAGCAAGUCCAUGGCAACACUAAAACCACUCAGGUGACCUUGGCAAAAGCAACACCCUGGAAACUUCCCAGAAUUAACUAGAAAUCACCCAUCAACUUCCCAGCAACUGUAUGACAACACUGAAACCAUUCUUAUUAGCUUAGCAAUUGCAACAUCCUGGAAACCACCCCUCAACACUAAAACCAUUCAGAUGACUUUAGCAAUGGCAACGUCCUGGCAACUGGCCAGAAUUACCUUAAAAAAAUCCCUAUCAACUUCCCAGCAACUGCAUGACAACACUAAAACCACUCAGAUGACCUUAGCAAUGGCAACGCCCUGGCAACUGCCCAGAAUUAACUAUAUAUUUUCCAUCAACUUUCCAGCAACUGCAUGGCGACACUGAAACCAUUUUAAUUAGCUUAGCAACUGCAACACCCUGGAAACCACCAAUCAAUACUAAAACCACUUAGAUCACCUUAACAAUGGCAACCCCCCGGUAACUGCCAGGAUUAAAUAGACAUCACCCAUCAACUUCCCAACUACUUCAUGGCAACACUGAAACCAUUCUAACUACCUUAGCAACUGCAACACACUGGCAACUACCCAGCAUUCUCUGGAAAACACUUAUCAACACCCUAGCAACCGCAUGGCAACAGUGAAACCACUCUGAUGACCUUAGCAACUGCAAAAUCCUGGCAACCAUCCAAAACAGCCUCGCAUUGUGGUUGCAACUUCCAUUAUCUCUGGGUCUGCCUGUCCCAGUUCUGCAGAGGCAACUUGCAUGCAGAAGCGAGGUGGCAGUCAUUUGUUGAAUGACUCACACUGUGACCAAUCAAAGAAAAACAACAGAAACAAGAGAGUGAGAAACACAGGGCGAAAACGAGAAAACGACUAGGAAGAAAACACAAAGAGGAAAAAAUGAAAGAAACCGUGAGGAGAAGAGCGAGACAAAUGUUGGAGUGAAAAUGUCGUCUUUCUCAGCUGGAAUGUGGCAGCAGGCAGGCUUAGAGUCCCAACACUUGAAUUCAAUCAGCCUGCCUGCUGAAUCGCUUCCAGAGAGGGAUGUGAGAGGGAAAAGUGCUGCCCACGUUUUCAUCUCGGACAUGGGAACGUUUCUGUAUAAACCCUGGAAAGACAAGGACAGAAAUGGCCACUGUUUUAAUAAGUACACUACAGAAAGGGCGAACUCCUGCUGAAAUAAAGCAUAUGCAUUAUUUAGCCCCUGCCUGUGUUUCACUGCUCAGACAAACCUCCAGAUCCACUGCAGGAAAAUGGCUGGGAUGAGAAAUGAGGCUUGAGUCAGACCUCUUUUGAGUCCCUGGGUCUCUCCGGCAUCAUUUAUAAUGCAAGUUGGUCCGCUCGGCAGCCAUCUUAGUGGAUUUCUGGGCUGCUAUUUCAAGCCAUGCAAGUGCAGCUGCUUUUGUUUUGUCAGCUAUGAACAUUUUGGUUGAAAAACCCAAAGUAUCCCAAUUUAUAGAUGCAUUUGCCCCUCAAGGAGCUGUUUUAAGCCGGCGCAUGUGUGAAAGUUU